AAUUUCUUUACUUUGAAUCAAUUUUGAUGGUUUUUGGUUAAUGGGUAAUUGUGUGUUUGAUUUUUUUUUUUUUUUUUUUUUUUUGGGUUUAGGUAACUUCGUCUCAUGGGAACAACUUUCACUAUGGAGAUCGUGUUCAAUCGGGUCAGUUUGCAUUUGUUGCAGCAGAAAGUGGAGACUACAUGACUUGUUUCUGGGCUGUGGAUAACAAACCACCUGUAACGUUGACUAUUGAUUUGGAAUGGAAGACUGGUGUGUUACUUUGAACAAUUUUGAUGGUUUUUGGUUAAGGGGUUAUUGUUUUUUUUUUUUUUUUUUUUUUUUUUUUUUGGGUUUAGGUAACUUCGUCUCAUGGGAACAACUUUCACUAUGGAGAUCGUGUUCAAUCGGGUCAGUUUGCAUUUGUUGCAGCAGAAAGUGGAGACUACAUGACUUGUUUCUGGGCUGUGGAUAACAAACCACCUGUAACGUUGACUAUUGAUUUGGAAUGGAAGACUGGUGUGGCAGCUAAAGAUUGGUCUAAUGUUGCUAAGAAAGGCCAAGUUGAUGUAAGUACUCAAAUCUGAAAUCUUUAUAUGAUAUAUAUACCUCAGUUAAUUUUUUUUAUCUUGUACUGUGUUGUUUCUUGCUAAUUCUAGCAUGAGUAAGCACAAUUGGUCAGAAACCAGUUGUACAUUAAAUUAAGGGUUGCAUUAAACACUACUUACUAAAUUUGUUUUGUUGAUACAUUUUUUUGAUUAAUUGUGAUUGUUUUAAUUAUUUGUUGUUUUUAUUGGUGAUUUCUGUAGGAUUACAUUUUGUAGCAUUGUGAUUUGUGUAUAUUAUUAAUAGGUUGAAUAGAUUCUUUCAGUUGCAUUCCACUCAUUUUUAAGGAGAGCUGAUAUGGACUGAACUGAGUAUUACUGUGCGGCAUUUGUGGCUAUGUCGAGAUUUUGUGAGGAUAUGAUAUCUUACAGUGUUUUUGAUCCGGUUAUGGAUGACUGUAUUAUUAUAUUAGGAGUAUGCUCGACUUUAGCAGGUGUGCUUCUGGGAAAAAUGCAAAUAAGUAAAUCAAUAAUUACCAUGUAGUACAAGUAAUUUUGGAAUAUCAAGUUGUGCUUUUAAUUUAGUCAUAAUGAUCGUGUGGCUUUCAUACAACCAAAAAAUCAAGGAGUUGUACUCUUUUCAAUGUAACCCCCUAGGCUAGCUUAUAGUAUGAGGUGAAUGUAUCCUACAUGAGCUUUACUGGCUGAAGCUCAUUGUGAUUGGUCUAGUAAUUUAUGAUGUCAUUAACCGGUUAGGAAGCUAGAGAUCUGGACCUCCUUCUGUCAUGGAAUCCUUACAGUCGUGCAGUCAAGAAUUCUGAAUUGUUUGAUCUUUGAUCGAUGUCUUAGAUUUGAAGUUCUGAAACUCGGAUUUAAAAGAAAGUGAAAAGUAAAUUUGGUAUGUGAUCCGUGAUUAGAUGGUAAAAAAUUGCUGACUGCAUGGAUUUUGUGACUGGGAAAUCCGGAUCCAAAUAGGUAGAUAUUUAGAGUUAAAGGUUUGCAGCCUUGAUGGUGAAUAUUAAUAAUGGGAGGUCGUUUAUAUUUCUAAAUAUGGCAAGCUUUUUACUGUAAGAUGUGUAUCUUGACUAUUGAAUGGUGGUCAUUUGUAUGCAAUUCAUUUUCCAUAGUACAUGUAGAUUUUGGUUU
rnacentral:lncRNA from 1 species